AUUGAACGCUGGCGGCAGGCUUAACACAUGCAAGUCGAACGAGUGGCGGACGGGUGAGUAAUGAUUGGGCAUCUGGCUUAUGGAGGGGGAUAACUACGGGAAACUGUAGCUACUACCGCGUACCAUAGGAUCAGCCCACGUGGGAUUAGGUAGUUGGUGAGGUAAAGGCUGACCAAGCCGAAGCUCUCUAGCAGGUCUGAGAGGGUGACCAGCCACACUGGGACUGAGACACGGCCCAGACUCCUACGGGAGGCAGCAGUGGGGAAUAUUGCGCAAUGGGGGCAACCUGACGGAGCCAUGCCGCGUGAAUGAAGAAGGCCUUCGGGUUGUAAAGUUCUGUCGGUAGCGAGGCGUUAACUACAGAAGAAGCACCGGCUAACUCCGUGCCAGCAGCCGCGGUAAUAC
rnacentral:rRNA from 1 species